rnacentral:rRNA from 1 species
GACGGAGGAUGCAAGCGUUAUCCGGAUUGAUUGGGCGUAAAGCGUCUGUAGGUGGCUUGGUAAGUCUGCUGUCAAAGCCCCGGGCUUAACCCUGGACAGGCAGUGGAAACUACCGAGCUUGAGUACGGUAGGGGCAGAGGGAAUUCCCGGUGGAGCGGUGAAAUGCGUAGAGAUCGGGAAGAACGCCAAGGGCGAAGGCACUCUGCUAGGCCUGAUUUCGCGACUGACACUCAGGGACGAGAGCCAGGGGAGCGAAUGGG